rnacentral:rRNA from 1 species
AUUGUGACAGCGUGCCUAUUGAAGAAUGAGCCGGCGAGUUAAUUUAUGUAGCAAGGUUAAGAUAUUAAGUAUUGGAGCCGAAGCGAAAGCGAGUCUGAAUAGGGCGUUUAGUUGCAUGGAUUAGACCCGAAACCGUGUGAGCUACCCAUGACCAGGGUGAAGCGAAAUUAACGUUUCGUGAAGGCCCGAACCCUUGUACGCUGCAAAGUGCUGGGAUGAGUUGUGGGUAGAGGAGAAAUUCCAAACGAACACGGAGAUAGCUGGUUCUCCCCGAAAUGUAUUUAGGUACAGCCUUAGGUAUUAACUGAUGGAGGUAGAGCACUGGAUGAGCUAGCGGGCGCAAGUUUAGCAAACUCAACCAAACUAAGAAUGCCAUCAGCCGAAUCCUAGGAGUGAGACAGUGACGGAUAAGCGCCAUUGUCGAAAGGGAAACAGCCCAGAUCGCAAGCUAAGGUCCCAAAGUUAUAGUUAAGUGGUAAAGGAGGUUGGAUCGCCCAGACAGCUAGUAGGUUGGCUUAGAAGCAGCCAUCCUUUAAAGAGUGCGUAAUAGCUCACUAGUCGAGGGGUUCUGCGCCGAAAAUUAUCGGGGCUAAACUAUACACCGAAGCUGCGGGAUUCUUUAUGAAUCGGUAGGGGAGCGUUCUCAAUGCACUGAAUCUGAAUUGUGAAAUUUGGUGGAGCGUUGAGAAGUGAGAAUGUCGGCAUGAGUAGCGACAAUCUUUGUGAGAAUCAAAGACACCGGAAGUCCGAGGUUUCCUACGCAACGUUGAUCGGCGUAGGGUUAGUCGGUCCUAAGGAGAAGCCGAAAGGUGAAUUCGAUGGACAGCUGGUCAAAAUUCCAGCACCGUAAUUAUCCUGUUAUGCAACGAAGGGACGCGAUAAGGACUGUUAAGCAUGCCUAUGGACAUGGUGUGUGGGACUUUGUAGGGAAGUGAUUGUGGUUAAAAGAACAGUUACGUUAUUAACUGAGAAAGUUUCAGACCUUAAGGCUUCGGCCUUAGGGAAUUUAACACGAACUAUGUCGCCAAGAAAAGCUUCGUUGAUAGGGAUAUUAUGACCGUACCGAAAACCGACACAGGUGGACAGGGGUAAAAGCCCCAAGGUGAACGAGAAAACCAUCCUCAAGGAACUCGGCAAAUUAACCCCGUAACUUCGGAAUAAGGGGAGCCUAAAAUAUAUAGACUUCGCGUUGAAAGUAUUUUAGGCCGCAGAGAAUUGGUCUGAGCGACUGUUUAUCAAAAACACAGGUCCGUGCUAAAGCGAAAGCUGAUGUAUACGGGCUGACGCCUGCCCAGUGCCGGUAGGUUAAAGUGAAGAGUGAGAGCUUUGAUCUGAAGCCCCGGUGAACGGCGGCCGUAACUAUAACGGUCCUAAGGUAGCGAAAUCCCUUGUCGGGUAAGUUCCGACCUGCACGAAAGGCGUAACGACUUGGACACUGUCUCGAGGGUGGACUCGGUGAAAUUGCAUGACCCGUAAAGAUGCGGGUUACGCGCAGCAGGACAAAAAGACCCCGUGGAGCUUUACUGUAGCUUGGCAUUGAAUUGUGAUUAAUGAUGUGUAGGAUAGGCGGGAGACUAUGAAUUUUGAGCG